rnacentral:rRNA from 1 species
GAGCGCCGUAGCAAUACGGAGCGGCAGACGGGAGAGUAACACGUGGGAACGUGCCCUUCAGUUCGGAACAACUCAGGGAAACUUGGGCUAAUACCGAAUACGUCCGUAAGGAGAAAGAUUUAUCGCUGAAGGAUCGGCCCGCGUCUGAUUAGCUAGUUGGUGGGGUAAUGGCUCACCAAGGCGACGAUCAGUAGCUGGUCUGAGAGGAUGAUCAGCCACAUUGGGACUGAGACACGGCCCAAACUCCUACGGGAGGCAGCAGUGGGGAAUAUUGGACAAUGGGCGCAAGCCUGAUCCAGCCAUGCCGCGUGAGUGAUGAAGGCCCUAGGGUUGUAAAGCUCUUUUACCCGGGAAGAUAAUGACGGUACCGGGAGAAUAAGCCCCGGCUAACUUCGUG